rnacentral:rRNA from 1 species
GAUGAACGCUAGCGGCAGGCUUAAUACAUGCAAGUCGUGGGGCAGCAGGUCUGUAGCAAUACAGAUGCUGGCGACCGGCAAACGGGUGCGUAACACGUACGCAACCUUCCCGUUACUGGGGAAUAGCCCAGGGAAACUUGGAUUAAUACCCCAUAUUAUAUUGGUUAGGCAUCUGACUGAUAUCAAAGCUUCGGCGGUAACGGAUGGGCGUGCGGUUGAUUAGGUAGUUGGCGGGGUAACGGCCACCAAGCCUACGAUCAAUAGCUGAUGUGAGAGCACGAUCAGCCACACGGGCACUGAGACACGGGCCCGACUCCUACGGGAGGCAGCAGUAAGGAGUAUUGGGCAAUGGACGAAAGUCUGACCCAGCCAUGCCGCGUGAAGGAUGAAGGUCCUCUGGAUUGUAAACUUCUUUUAUCUGGGGCGAAAAUCGGUUAUUCUUAGCCGCUUGACAGUACCAGAUGAAUAAGCACCGGCUAACUCCGUGCCAGCAGCCGCAGUAACAC